rnacentral:lncRNA from 1 species
GGUGCAUGGUAGACCGACCGCUCGAUCCAUAGAUUCAAGGGCGCGGUCCAUGGGAAUAGUUUCACGGUGCACGACGUGGCUCACAGGUGGGUGGAAGGUUUUUUGCACGAUCUGAUGGCUUAAAAUGAUUCUGAGGGAGAUCGAACGGUCCACAUUCAUUGCCGAUUGAAAAGAAAGAUUUUUUAGUACAAUCAGAUGGCCAAAACUCGAUCCAUUUCUCGAUCCAAUGGCUGUUAUCGUAUCGACUGAGAAUAGAAAGAAAAUUAUGCAAUCCAACAGCCAGAA